AGGAUAAACGCUGGCGGCGUGCCUAACACAUGCAAGUCGAACGCCCUUUUCCUUCGCAAGAGGGGGGAGGGAGUGGCGGACGGGUGAGGAACACAUGGGUGACCUACCUUUCAGUGAGGAAUACCGGCGAGAAAUCGCCGACAAGACCGCAUGAGCUUCUCUCGGUAAGCGAGGGAAGGAAAGCUCUUUUUCGUGAGAACGGAGGGGGCGCUGGAAGAUGGGCCUGUGGCCGAUUAGCUAGUUGGUGAGGUAAUGGCUCACCAAGGCGACGAUCGGUAGCUGGUCUGAGAGGACGAUCAGCCACACUGGGAUUGAGAACGGCCCAGACUCCUACGGGGGGCAGCAGUGAGGAAUUUUCCGCAAUGGGCGCAAGCCUGACGGAGCAACGCCGCGUGCAGGAAGACGGUUUUCGGAUCGUAAACUGCUUUUCUCGGGGACGAGAACGGACGGUACCCGAGGAAUCAGCCCGGCUAACUACGUGCCAGCAGCCGC
rnacentral:rRNA from 1 species